rnacentral:lncRNA from 1 species
UUUUAUCAUUAAUUUUGUGAGAUUUCUAAUAGUUUUUGACAGUUGACUGUUGUCUUUUAUCCACAGGCACUGAGUUUGUUUAUUUAUGAAUUGAAAAUCACUACACACAUUCUUUUUGUAUUUUAUGGAAAAAAAGAGGGUAUGAGCUCCCAGAUGGCACGGUCUGUUCCCAGACGCAAAGCCUGAGACCCGUGGUAUCAGCUCAUCUCACCACUUUGCCCUGAUUACUGAAGUUCUAAUACGUGACAGCCAUUGUGCGGGGCCCCAGAGAUAGAGUGGCAACAGUGUGAUCUGCUCUGAUGGAGCCUACAGUUUGGUGUGAGAAACAUAUAUUAAAUAAAUAUGCUCAUAAAGAUUAAAUAAAUUUAAA